rnacentral:rRNA from 1 species
UGGCGAACGGGUGAGUAACACGUGGGCAACCUGCCCAAAAGAGGGGGAUAACACUUGGAAACAGGUGCUAAUACCGCAUAACCAUAGUUACCGCAUGGUAACUAUGUAAAAGGUGGCUAUGCUACCGCUUUUGGAUGGGCCCGCGCGCAUUAGCUAGUUGGUGGGGUAAAGGCUUACCAAGGCAAUGAUGCGUAGCCGAACUGAGAGGUUGAUCGGCCACAUUGGGACUGAGACACGGCCCAAACUCCUACGGAAGGCAGCAG